UCCAUUAAAACAGUCGUUGAAGCUUUGAAAAUAAAAAAAGAGAGAGAGACUCCCCUCCUUAACGAAAUCAACCUAAAAAGGUAAGAGAUUUUCAUGUAUUAGUUUUAAAUUCUUCUAAUUUGUUAAAAGUUGUAAAAUCAAGUUAUCUUUUGAUAUUAGGAUUUGAGGGAAGGCAAGACGAAGGGACUUGGUUUGGGUUAAACCCGUCUUUUAUUAAAUUAUUUAAUUAAAAUUAUUUAUUUAAUAAAAAGUGUCCAACAUGCGUUAACUGAUAGUCAAGGUUGAUAAAAAUAGGGUCAAAACAUGAAAUUAAAAUGGUCUUUUAAGAGUUUUGUGAGGUAAUAGGAUAUUCAUAAAUUUAAAAUGUCUUUUAUCAAAUUCGUGAUAACGCCAAUGAUGAUCUUGUAUCUUUUAUCUAAAAAAUAAAUAAAUUAUCGAUUAUGACUCAUGUUGUUAUUUACUACAAAUACAUAACAACAACUUUUGCUUCAUUCACAAGCUGUUUUGUUAUAUUUCAAAUUAGUGAAAUCAUUAGUGAAAGUGGACAUAAUGUCAUUAUUGGCAAAUAAAUAUAUUGUUGUCAAAAUAAAUCCAGAUUAAUGGCAGUUUGUAGUCUUUAUUCACUCUCUUUCAUUCAACAUCACCACUCUAGGACACAUCAUUAUCCACAUUAAAUAUUUUUGAAAGGUUUGUUAUUUUUUCUAAACAACAAUAGGUCCUUUUCAUUUUUUUUUCUCUUUCCUUUUUUGUCUUGAUAUGUCUAGCACACACUUUGUUGGCAUCUGGUGUUGUCCCUAUAGUUAAUGUGUAAUUCCUUUAGAAUUUAUUGAACAAUUAUAAGUUGAUGUUGGAAUUUGAGAUUGAGGGAUAAUUAAGAAAGAGAAGACACAAAACUCCCUAUAUCCUAACAAACACAAAUUCAUAUAGUACAUAUAGUUUCUAUUCAAGCAUUAUUAUUCAAACAAGAGAGGCAGCUGACACGGGAUUAAAAAUAAAGAAAUAUAGUGAUUGCAAACACAUUUUUAAAAUCACCCGAUAACUUAUAAGAGAAGAGGUUACAAUGUUGAAAUACACUUUAUCCUUAAUAAAAAUUUUGUGAUAGAACCACAUGUAUGGACUGGAAGGUACAUGUGGUGUAAUAGCAAUAUGUUGCACCACUGGAAGGUAUACUCUUCAAAAAUACCAUUAGAGUGUGUGUCAGAUUCUCAAAAGCUACGUAUUUUUGGAGGAUCUAAUUUAAUUGCACAAUAUACAAAUGGCAAUAUGCAAUCAUCCACCAAUUUGCACUUUCUUCAAAAUAUAUAAAUGACAAAAUUGUGUUAUGGGACUAAAAAGUAUAAAAAGUCAACUCUACGUGCACUUUUAUAUCCAUUUUCAUUCACUGUAGAAGGUCUCAACAAAGGUAUAAGUGCAAUAAGAAACGUAAACCUAGAAGGAUAAACUCAAGCAAAUACAAUUGAAAAUAGAGAGAACAGGUAUUCAUGUUGUAGACAUGUAAAAUUUAUUGGGUCAAAUUCAUAUAAAAAUUGGAUUUGACCCAUAUUUUAUUGGGUCUAAAAUUAUUUUGGUCUAUAAAAAUAAUAAGCCUAUUUUAUUUCUCAUCAAGGACUUCAAGGCCCAUCUCACCUUAAGGACCAAACUUAUGCCAUGUGUCAAGUGACGUGGCAUCCCAGUCAUAUUAAAUACCAAUGAAGCAAGACCAUACACAUCAAAUGAUGUGGCAAUCUAAGUCAAGUUCAAGAGCCAAUAAAACAUCGCCAAGUCUUCCAAAUGACAUGUGUUUUGCCAAUCACAAGCAACCUUGUCACAUAAUAUUUGUGUUAAGCUUGAAAAUUGAAUGGACCAAUCAGAAUGAGGCAAAAGAGGUUAUUUACACUUGGAUUGCCUACCCCUUACAACUAUAAAUAUGAGGGUUACAUAAUUUUCUGAGGUCAUUCUGCAAGUAGUGGAGAAAGCUACUGCAUUGACUACACAACUCUUCAAAGAAUUGACCAACGGAGUUUUGCAUGUAGAUCAACUCGAUAAGAUGAAGUACUGUCAGACAAUUACUGGAGAUCCAAACACAUUUCUAGUAGGCUUAAAUCACCCGGAAGUUUGAUAAUUAUGCUACAAAAAGCCCUCGAAUCACGGAAAAGCUUAGGAGAGAAGAAUUGAGAGAAUAAUAGAAUUGUACCCGCAAAUUUCGUUUAUAUAAAAUCAUUAUUUCUUUUUAUUUAUUUUUGCUUGCAUUUAAUUUUUCG
rnacentral:lncRNA from 1 species